GAGUUUGAUCAUGGCUCAGAACGAACGCUGGCGGCGCGUCUUAAGCAUGCAAGUCGAACGGCAAGGCAGGUGCUUGCACCUGCCCUAGAGUGGCGGACUGGUGAGUAACACGUGGGUGACAUGCCUUUUAGUUGGGGAUAGCUACUAGAAAUAGUAGAUAAUACCGAAUGUGAUCAAUAUUUAUAGAUGAUGUUGAGGAAAGGAGCUAAGGCUUCGCUAAAAGAUUGGCCCGCGGCCCAUUAGCUAGUUGGUAGGGUAAAGGCUUACCAAGGCUUUGAUGGGUAUCCGGCCCGAGAGGGUGAUCGGACACAUUGGGACUGAGAUACGGCCCAGACUCCUACGGGAGGCAGCAGCUAAGAAUAUUCCACAAUGGACGAAAGUCUGAUGGAGCGACGCCGCGUGGAUGAUGAAGGCCGAAAGGUUGUAAAAUCCUUUUACACUGGAGGAAUAAGCAGAGUAGGGAAUGACUCUGUGAUGACUGUACAGUUUGAAUAAGCAACGGCUAAUUACGUGCCAGCAGCCGCGGUAACACGUAAGUUGCGAGCGUUGUUCGGAAUUAUUGGGCGUAAAGGGCAUGUAGGCGGAUUUGCAAGCUUGAUGUGAAAUCCCGCAGCUUAACUGCGGAACUGCAUUGAGAACUGCAAGACUAGAGUUACUGAGGGGAAACUAGAAUUCCAAGUGUAGGGGUGAAAUCUGUAGAUAUUUGGAAGAAUACCAAUGGCGAAGGCAAGUUUCUGGCAGAUAACUGACGCUGAGGUGCGAAGGUGCGGGGAGCAAACAGGAUU
rnacentral:rRNA from 1 species